CUCAUCAAAACAAUAAAGGAAAAAUAGUAUAAAUUUUAAACAGCUGAAGAAUUCGUCAGUUCGUUCAUGUUCUCUACUUCCACCAACAUGUCCAAAUACGCAAUUUUCGUACUUGCUCAAUUUAUUCUGCUCAAUGAAAUUCAUUGCUGCUGUCUUCCGCCCCCGACGUUGCCUUGCGCACUUCCGGCUCCUCCUGCAUUAAGCUGCGGUCUUCCAGCUCUGCCACCAACUUGUGCACUUCCUCUUCCUCCAGCUGUCGGCUGUGCUCCUCCUCCAAUGACAAUCCUUCCGAUGCCAAUGCCUGUUGCACCAGCUUUGCCACCAACAUGUGGUUUGCCCUUGUUGCAAAAGAAACUCCUACUUUCUAAACUUCUUGGCUUAAAAAUGGGAUUACCUUUAGCUGGUUGUGGACUCCCAUUACCUCCUUUAGCCUGCGGUUGUUAAAAGCUUAUAAAAUAAUGUAUUACUAUGUUUUCUGCUACAAUGUUUAAUUAAAUGAAACAUGAAAUGUUAUAUGUAAAAGAAAAAUAAAUCGUUUUAAGAA